rnacentral:rRNA from 1 species
GGAAUCUGGGAGGACCAUCUCCUAAGGCUAAAUACUCUCUAGUGACCGAUAGUGAACCAGUACCGUGAGGGAAAGGUGAAAAGCACCCCGGAAGGAGAGUGAAAUAGAACCUGAAACCGUGUGCUUACAAGUAGUCAGAGCCCGUUAAUGGGUGAUGGCGUGCCUUUUGUAGAAUGAACCGGCGAGUUACGAUUUGAUGCAAGGUUAAGCAGUAAAUGUGGAGCCGUAGCGAAAGCGAGUCUGAAUAGGGCGUUUAGUAUUUGGUCGUAGACCCGAAACCAGGUGAUCUACCCUUGGUCAGGUUGAAGUUCAGGUAACACUGAAUGGAGGACCGAACCGACUUACGUUGAAAAGUGAGCGGAUGAACUGAGGGUAGCGGAGAAAUUCCAAUCGAACCUGGAGAUAGCUGGUUCUCUCCGAAAUAGCUUUAGGGCUAGCCUCAAGUGAUGAUUAUUGGAGGUAGAGCACUGUUUGGACGAGGGGCCCCUCUCGGGUUACCGAAUUCAGACAAACUCCGAAUGCCAAUUAAUUUAACUUGGGAGUCAGAACAUGGGUGAUAAGGUCCGUGUUCGAAAGGGAAACAGCCCAGACCACCAGCUAAGGUCCCAAAAUAUAUGUUAAGUGGAAAAGGAUGUGGCGUUGCCCAGACAACUAGGAUGUUGGCUUAGAAGCAGCCAUCAUUUAAAGAGUGCGUAAUAGCUCACUAGUCGAGUGACACUGCGCCGAAAAUGUACCGGGGCUAAACAUAUUACCGAAGCUGUGGAUUGUCCUUUGGACAAUGGUAGGAGAGCGUUCUAAGGGCGUUGAAGCAUGAUCGUAAGGACAUGUGGAGCGCUUAGAAGUGAGAAUGCCGGUGUGAGUAGCGAAAGACGGGUGAGAAUCCCGUCCACCGAUUGACUAAGGUUUCCAGAGGAAGGCUCGUCCGCUCUGGGUUAGUCGGGUCCUAAGCUGAGGCCGACAGGCGUAGGCGAUGGAUAACAGGUUGAUAUUCCUGUACCACCUAUAAUCGUUUUAAUCGAUGGGGGGACGCAGUAGGAUAGGCGAAGCGUGCGAUUGGAUUGCACGUCUAAGCAGUAAGGCUGAGUAUUAGGCAAAUCCGGUACUCGUUAAGGCUGAGCUGUGAUGGGGAGAAGACAUUGAGUCUUCGAGUCGUUGAUUUCACACUGCCGAGAAAAGCCUCUAGAUAGAAAAUAGGUGCCCGUACCGCAAACCGACACAGGUAGUCAAGAUGAGAAUUCUAAGGUGAGCGAGCGAACUCUCGUUAAGGAACUCGGCAAAAUGACCCCGUAACUUCGGGAGAAGGGGUGCUCUUUAGGGUUAACGCCCAGAAGAGCCGCAGUGAAUAGGCCCAAGCGACUGUUUAUCAAAAACACAGGUCUCUGCUAAACCGUAAGGUGAUGUAUAGGGGCUGACGCCUGCCCGGUGCUGGAAGGUUAAGAGGAGUGGUUAGCUUCUGCGAAGCUACGAAUCGAAGCCCCAGUAAACGGCGGCCGUAACUAUAACGGUCCUAAGGUAGCGAAAUUCCUUGUCGGGUAAGUUCCGACCCGCACGAAAGGCGUAACGAUUUGGGCACUGUCUCAACGAGAGACUCGGUGAAAUCAUAGUACCUGUGAAGAUGCAGGUUACCCGCGACAGGACGGAAAGACCCCGUGGAGCUUUACUGUAGCCUGAUAUUGAAAUUCGGCACAGCUUGUACAGGAUAGGUAGGAGCCUUUGAAACGUGAGCGCUAGCUUACGUGGAGGCGCUGGUGGGAUACUACCCUAGCUGUGUUGGCUUUCUAACCCGCACCACUUAUCGUGGUGGGAGACAGUGUCAAGCGGGCAGUUUGACUGGGGCGGUCGCCUCCUAAAAGGUAACGGAGGCGCUCAAAGGUUCCCUCAGAAUGGUUGGAAAUCAUUCAUAGAGUGUAAAGGCAUAAGGGAGCUUGACUGCGAGACCUACAAGUCGAGCAGGGUCGAAAGACGGACUUAGUGAUCCGGUGGUUCCGCAUGGAAGGGCCAUCGCUCAACGGAUAAAAGCUACCCCGGGGAUAACAGGCUUAUCUCCCCCAAGAGUUCACAUCGACGGGGAGGUUUGGCACCUCGAUGUCGGCUCAUCGCAUCCUGGGGCUGUAGUCGGUCCCAAGGGUUGGGCUGUUCGCCCAUUAAAGCGGUACGCGAGCUGGGUUCAGAACGUCGUGAGACAGUUCGGUCCCUAUCCGUCGUGGGCGUAGGAAAUUUGAGAGGAGCUGUCCUUAGUACGAGAGGACCGGGAUGGACAUACCUCUGGUGUACCAGUUGUCGUGCCAACGGCAUAGCUGGGUAGCUAUGUGUGGACGGGAUAAGUGCUGAAAGCAUCUAAGCAUGAAGCCCCCCUCAAGAUGAGAUUUCCCAACUUCGGUUAUAAGAUCCCUCAAAGAUGAUGAGGUUAAUAGGUUCGAGGUGGAAGCAUGGUGACAUGUGGAGCUGACGAAUACUAAUCGAUCGAAGACUUAAUCAA